rnacentral:rRNA from 1 species
AUUGAACGCUGGCGGCAUGCCUUACACAUGCAAGUCGAACGGCAGCACGGGUGCUUGCACCUGGUGGCGAGUGGCGAACGGGUGAGUAAUACAUCGGAACGUACCUUAUCGUGGGGGAUAACGCAGCGAAGGCUGUGCUAAUACCGCAUACGCCCUGAGGGGGAAAGCGGGGGAUCGAAAGACCUCGCGCGAUUAGAGUGGCCGAUGCCUGAUUAGCUUGUUGGUGGGGUAAAAGCCCACCAAGGCGACGAUCAGUAGCUGGUCUGAGAGGACGAUCAGCCACACUGGGACUGAGACACGGCCCAGACUCCUACGGGAGGCAGCAGUGGGGAAUUUUGGACAAUGGGGGCAACCCUGAUCCAGCAAUGCCGCGUGAGUGAAGAAGGCCUUCGGGUUGUAAAGCUCUUUUGUCAGGGAAGAAACACCGGCUCUAACACAGUCCGGGGAUGACGGUACCUGAAGAAUAAGCACCGGCUAACUACGUGCCAGCAGCCGCCGUAA